CAUUUACUGCAUGGUAGAUGUUUAAAAGGUGCAAAUGCAUCACUACCAGAUGGACCUGCGUUGUAUUAGCUAGUAGGUGAGGUAACGGCUCACCUAGGCGACGAUACAUAGCCGACCUGAGAGGGUGAUCGGCCACACUGGGACUGAGACACGGCCCAGACUCCUACGGGAGGCAGCAGUAGGGAAUCUUCGGCAAUGGGGGGAACCCUGACCGAGCAACGCCGCGUGAGUGAAGAAGGUUUUCGGAUCGUAAAGCUCUGUUGUUAAGGAAGAACGAGUGUGAGAAUGGAAAGUUCAUACUGUGACGGUACUUAACCAGAAAGGGACGGCUAACUACGUGCCAGCAGCCGCGGUAAUACGUAGGUCCCGAGCGUUGUCCGGAUUUAUUGGGCGUAAAGCGAGCGCAGGCGGUUAGAUAAGUCUGAAGUUAAAGGCAGUGGCUCAACCAUUGUAGGCUUUGGAAACUGUUUAACUUGAGUGCAGAAGGGGAGAGUGGAAUUCCAUGUGUAGCGGUGAAAUGCGUAGAUAUAUGGAGGAACACCGGUGGCGAAAGCGGCUCUCUGGUCUGUAACUGACGCUGAGGCUCGAAAGCGUGGGGAGCGAACAGGAUUAGAUACCCUGGUAGUCCACGCCGUAAACGAUGAGUGCUAGGUGUUAGGUCCUUUCCGGGACUUAGUGCCGCAGCUAACGCAUUAAGCACUCCGCCUGGGGAGUACGACCGCAAGGUGAAACUCAAAGGAAUUGACGGC
rnacentral:rRNA from 1 species